AAGUCGUAACAAGGUUCCCUUCUGCAGCGCAGCUCCGGAGACCUUGCACCCCGAACGGGUGGCAGCACGACGAUAAACAAAGCUCGCCGCGUGCAAGUUGCCGUAUGGUCAGCAACACGAUCGAAUUGACGGGGACCUCCUAAAGCCUGCAACACCAACCGUCCGGGGAAACUCGGGCGGGGCCCUCACGGGGUGGUAAUGAGAGUGCAGGAUGAACAAUGGACGAUCCGCAGCGAAGACCCUACCGGCGAGAGCCCCACGGGGUACCGUUUCACAGACUAAGUGAUUGUGGGCGGGGCAUCAGGCCCCCGUCUAAGAUAUAGUCGGUCUUUGUCCGAAAGGGCAGAGCCUAGCGCGUCCGUAGGUGAACCUGCGGAAGGAUCAUUAAAGAAUCGCCCCGUUUUUUGAAAUGGGUUCUAUUCCCAAACCGUGUAUACAUACCUUUGUUGCUUUGGCAGGCCGUCUUUUAGGCGUCGGCUCCGGCUGACUGCGCUUGCCAGAGGACCCAAACUCGUUUGUUUAGUGAUGUCUGAGUACUAUAUAAUAGUUAAAA
rnacentral:misc_RNA from 1 species